UCCCUGGUGGUCCAGUGGCUGAGACUUUGUGCUCCCGAUGCAUGGGGCCUGGGUUCAAUUCCUGGUCAGGGGA
rnacentral:tRNA from 1 species